rnacentral:rRNA from 1 species
CAGUCGCCGCGGUAACACGAAGGGUGCAAGCGUUAAUCGGAAUUACUGGGCGUAAAGCGUGCGUAGGCGGUGAGUUAAGUCUGCUGUGAAAUCCCCGGGCUCAACCUGGGAAUGGCAGUGGAUACUGGCUCGCUAGAGUGUGUCAGAGGAUGGUGGAAUUCCCGGUGUAGCGGUGAAAUGCGUAGAGAUCGGGAGGAACAUCAGUGGCGAAGGCGGCCAUCUGGGACAACACUUACGCUGAGGCACGAAAGCGUGGGGAGCAAACAGGAUUAGAUACCCCGGUAGUCCCUGUCUCUUAUAC